CCGACUGGCACUGAAGAUUCUAAUGGAUGCUCUGAACAAUUAGAGGGCCUCUUCAGCUGCUUUUUCAGUUUGAAGUUAUGAUUGGAGGAGACCUCGAAAUUCAGCUGUGUGCAGUAUUUACAGAGUAGUUCCCCGUUAUCCGCGGUUUUAGUUACCCGUGGUCAACUGCAGGCUGGAAGCGGAUGAUCCUCUUUCUAACCCAUCUUCAGAAGGUCAGUAGUAGCCUAGUGCUAGGUCACAACGCCUACGUCAUUCACCUCACUCCAUCUCAUCACGUAGGCAUUGUAUCAUCUCACAUCACCACAAGAAGAAGGGAUUCCUCUAAAAUCCAAGGACAUAAGAUGAGAACCCAAAUAAACAGAAAACAUCAAAAUAUGACCUGGCUCGGGCACCGGUUCAGAUAUAGUAGCGCACACUACACCACAAGAGCCUGGGCCAAGUGGAGUCGCCCAGGGCCAGGUGGAAAAGAUUUGUUACUAAUUCCAGGGAAGAACUGUUCGCGUCGUGGGGGUGAAACGGUUGCCAGCGUUCACACUUCAGUGCUUGUAGACCAGGAGACUGGAAACGAAAGGGUUACUUGUUUCCCCACCACCGCCUUUACCCCCAGAUCGAUUUUUCUUAUUUAAUCAGAAAGUAAAAAGAGAGACACGGGGGGAAAAAAAAUUGGAAGAAGGGCAAAGUGGUGGGGGAGGGUUGAAAGCCAGAAGCUGCAAUACAGAAAAUCAGUCUCGGGAGUUCGCGCUGCCGAGUCCUUGCAACAAGGAAGAGAAGCCAGCAAAACGCUCGCAGUGGUUUCCUCACAGUCACCCUCCCUUUUCUCCUCGCUACGCGCUAGUGGCUCAUUUGGCUUCCCUCUGCCACCGAGCGAUCACAUACAUUAUUUCCCCCAAGAUAACACAAUCAAACUUGUAUUUAUCGACAUCCUCUCCUCGCAGUCUGUUUGAGAUUUGUUUUAAUAAAUAAGUGUUUUAUGUGAAUGAUGUAGUAAUUGAAAUGGGCGCACCAUUUUUUUUUCUUCUUACUGCAGGAGGUUCCUCAACCCCAAUCUGGUUGGAAAAUAAA
rnacentral:lncRNA from 1 species